AAAAAAAAGUGUAAGAAGCAUAAUUCAGCAAAAAGACAAUCCAAGUGCUCUAAUCCUUCCCGCCAAAAUUGAGUCCACCAUUUAAGCUCUCACAAUUCCAACAAUUACAAUCGCCGAUUUUCUCUCUUUCGACGACGACAACAAUUACAGUCGCCGAUUUUCUCCCUUCCGAGACGACGUCGACAAUUACAGCCCCGGAUAUUCUCCCUUUCGACGAUGACGACAACAAUUACAGUCGCCGGUUUCUCCCUUUCGACGACGAAGCCAACUUUAUUCGCCGGCGUCCGCACCAGUGGCACUUUUUAUUUGCUUUAUCUUCCACAUUCGAGUGUUUGCUCCAAGUUCAAUCAUUUCCAUUUAUUCCCUAGGGUUCCAACUGAUAUUCUUACUUCAGUGAGUAGGAUUUCAGCCUAUUAUAGUAGGGAAGAAUGCUUUAUGUGUAUCUCUCUACCUAGAGUUUCUUGUUUGUGGUGUUCCGGUAAUUUCUAUGAUUUUGGAGAAAUAGUUUAUAGUAGUACCUAGUGGGUGUCUUAUUUCCUUUAUUAUCUAGCUGUGUGUUAUCUCAUCUUGUUGUAUUGUUUGGUAUAUUGUUAUAUGUGCUGAGCCGGGGUCUAUCGAAAAUAGCCUCUCUACUUCAUCUGAGGUAGUGGUAUAGACUGCGUACACUUUACCUUACACAGACUCCACUUUGUGGGAGUACACUGAGUAUAUUGUUGUUGUACCGAUCCUAAUUUGUUUCUUGUUUAUGGUAGUAUUACAAGGCGCGUCUUUGAAGGCAUGCCCAACCUGAAGAAGUUAGGAAUUCGUGAAAGUGAAGAAGAGUGCUUGACUGCUGAACAAAUGUCUGGAAAACUCAAGAAGCUGUUUCUGUUGGAGCACCUUGAAGCAUUCAAGGGUUUCUUUAUCAAACCAUGGAUACUUAAACAAUGUGAUGUUUUCCCAUUAACCCUCGAGAAAUUGACGUAGUAACUCUUUUGUUCUAUUUGUGUUGCAGCUGAACCUUAGGGCCUCCGUUCGUCUAAUAUUUGGCGCGCCCCCUCGACAAGCAAAAGGCUAAUGCAGAGGAAAGUUUAGCUUUCCCAGGAAAAAUUCAUCAACUUGGCUA